GAGUUUGAUCGUGGCUCAGGAUGAACGCUGGCGGCGUGCCUAAUACAUGCAAGUCGAGCGAACAGACGAGGAGCUUGCUCCUCUGACGUUAGCGGCGGACGGGUGAGUAACACGUGGAUAACCUACCUAUAAGACUGGGAUAACUUCGGGAAACCGGAGCUAAUACCGAAUAAUAUAUUGAACCGCAUGGUUCAAUAGUGAAAAACGGUUUUGCUGUCACUUAUAGAUGGAUCCGCGCCGCAUUAGCUAGUUGGUAGGGUAACGGCUUACCAAGGCGACGAUGCGUAGCCGACCUGAGAGGGUGAUCGGCCACACUGGAACUGAGACACGGUCCAGACUCCUACGGGAGGCAGCAGUAGGGAAUCUUCCGCAAUGGGCGAAAGCCUGACGGAGCAACGCCGCGUGAGUGAUGAAGGUCUUCGGAUCGUAAAACUCUGUUAUUAGGGAAGAACAAUGUGUAGUAACUAUGCACGUCUUGACGGUACCUAA
rnacentral:rRNA from 1 species